GACGAACGCUGGCGGCGUGCUUAACACAUGCAAGUCGAACGGAAAGGCCCUGCUUUUGUGGGGUGCUCGAGUGGCGAACGGGUGAGUAACACGUGAGUAACCUGCCCUUGACUUUGGGAUAACUUCAGGAAACUGGGGCUAAUACCGGAUAGGAGCUCCUGCUGCAUGGUGGGGGUUGGAAAGUUUCGGCGGUUGGGGAUGGACUCGCGGCUUAUCAGCUUGUUGGUGGGGUAGUGGCUUACCAAGGCUUUGACGGGUAGCCGGCCUGAGAGGGUGACCGGCCACAUUGGGACUGAGCUACGGCCCAGACUCCUACGGGAGGCAGCAGUGGGGAAUAUUGCACAAUGGGCGGAAGCCUGAUGCAGCAACGCCGCGUGCGGGAUGACGGCCUUCGGGUUGUAUACCGCUUUCGCCUGUGACGAAGCGUGAGUGACGGUAAUGGGUAAAGAAGCACCGGCUAACUACGUG
rnacentral:rRNA from 1 species